rnacentral:rRNA from 1 species
UGGGGAAUCUUGGACAAUGGACGCAAGUCUGAUCCAGCGAUGCCGCGUGAGCGAUGAAGGCCUUAGGGUUGUAAAGCUCUUUCGCCCGCGACGAUGAUGACGGUAGCGGGAGAAGAAGCCCCGGCUAACUCCGUGCCAGCAGCCGCGGUAAUACGGAGGGGGCUAGCGUUGUUCGGAAUUACUGGGCGUAAAGCGCGCGUAGGCGGCCCAUCAAGUCAGGGGUGAAAGCCCGGGGCUCAACCCCGGAAUUGCCUUUGAGACUGAUGGGCUGGAGUUCGGGAGAGGAGAGUGGAAUUCCCAGUGUAGAGGUGAAAUUCGUAGAUAUUGGGAAGAACACCGGUGGCGAAGGCGGCUCUCUGGCCCGAGACUGACGCUGAGGCGCGAAAGCGUGGGGAGCAAACAGG